rnacentral:rRNA from 1 species
UCCUACGGGAGGCAGCAGUGGGGAAUAUUGCACAAUGGGCGCAAGCCUGAUGCAGCCAUGCCGCGUGAGUGAUGAAGGCCUUAGGGUUGUAAACUGCUUUUGUACGGAACGAAACGGUCCGGGUUAAUACCCUGGGCUAAUGACGGUACCGUAAGAAUAAGGACCGGCUAACUACGUGCCAGCAGCCGCGGUA